rnacentral:rRNA from 1 species
UACGUAGGGUGCGAGCGUUGUCCGGAAUUACUGGGCGUAAAGAGCUCGUAGGUGGUUUGUCGCGUUGUUCGUGAAAACCGGGGGCUUAACCCUCGGCGUGCGGGCGAUACGGGCAGACUUGAGUACUGCAGGGGAGACUGGAAUUCCUGGUGUAGCGGUGGAAUGCGCAGAUAUCAGGAGGAACACCGGUGGCGAAGGCGGGUCUCUGGGCCGAUAUUGACGCUGAGGAGCGAAAGCGUGGGGAGCAAACAGG